rnacentral:rRNA from 1 species
UGAGGAAUAUUGCGCAAUGGGGGCAACCCUGACGCAGCGACGCCGUGUGGAUGAUGAAGGCCUUCGGGUUGUAAAAUCCUGUCAGAUGGGAAGAAGUGUAGUAUGGUUAAGAGCUGUAUUAUUUGACGGUACCAUCAAAGGAAGCACCGGCUAACCCCGUGCCAGCAGCCGCGGUAA